rnacentral:rRNA from 1 species
UACGGAGGGUGCAAGCGUUAUCCGGAUUCACUGGGUUUAAAGGGUGCGUAGGCGGGCAGGUAAGUCCGUGGUGAAAUCUCUGAGCUUAACUCAGAAACUGCCAUGGAUACUAUUUGUCUUGAAUAUUGUGGAGGUAAGCGGAAUAUGUCAUGUAGCGGUGAAAUGCUUAGAUAUGACAUAGAACACCAAUUGCGAAGGCAGCUGGCUACACAAAUAUUGACACUGAGGCACGAAAGCGUGGGGGAUCAAACAGG